UGGUGCGCACGAACAACUGUCUUUCCACCCUUCUUGACGAGGUACCGCAUCUUCUGAGGCGCAUUGGAUGCGCUGGUCGCACCAGAGGCGGCGGGAGUGGCGGAAGAGGCAGGCUUUGCGGGCUCGGGUUCUGAAGCUGGACACAGCAGUUUCGACGCACCUCGCCUCGCUCGUUGAUCGUC
rnacentral:misc_RNA from 1 species